rnacentral:rRNA from 1 species
AUCACUAAGCGGAGGAAAAGAAACUAACCAGGAUUGCCUUAGUAACGGCGAGUGAAACGGCAAAAGCCCACACUGAAAAUCGCUUCGGCGAAUUGUACAGUGAAGACGUUAUUCUUACCUGAUCAUGCUCGUGUAACUCGGCUGGAACGCCGGACCGGAGAGGGUGCAAGUCCCGUGCCGCGAGCGUGAGAAGGAUAGAGUUCGUUCUAAGAGUCGGGUAGUUUGGGAAUGCUGCCCUAAUUGGGAGGUAGACUCCUUCUAAGGCUAAAUAACGACGAGAGACCGAUAGUGGACAAGUACUGUGAAGGAAAGAUGAAAAGAACUUUGGAAAGAGAGUUAAAAGACUUGAAAUCGUUGAGGAGGAAGCAGUGCGCCUGACACAGCCUCUUACAAAACUGUACCACGGUGCAGGGGGAGUAGGUGGUGGAGUCUGCUGUCUGGGAGGUUCGCCGUAGUGUUUACUGUUAGUGCUCACGGAAAGCGAACUGAUCGGUAGUAGGCGUUGGGUGCACUGGCCCGUCUUGAAACACGGACCAAGGAGUCCAGCCUAUGUGCAAGUAGAGGGGCUUAACCCCAGAUGCGCAACGAAAGUAAUCUCUGGCUCAGCAGAGGCCGCAAUAGCGAGCUCAGCAGAUAGGCUGGGACCCGAAAGAUGGUGAACUAUGCUUGGGAAAGGCGAAGCCAGGGGAAACUCUGGUGGAGGCUUGUAGAGGUUCUGACGUGCAAAUCGAUCUUCUGACCUGAGUAUAGGGGCGAAAGACUUAUCGAACCAUCUAGUAGCUGGUUCCCUCCGAAAUUUCCCUCAGGAUAGCAGGAGCUUUGCAGUUUUACCAGGUAAAGCGAAUGAUUAGAGGUUCGGGGGAUGAAACAUCCUUCACCUAUUCUCAAACUUUAAAUUGGUAAGGUGAUUGAGUUACUUCAGUGAACUUUUUCUUGAAUGCUUGCUCCAAGUGGGCCAUUUUUGGUAAGCAGAACUGGCAACGAGGGCUCAACCUAAGGCGAUGUUGAGGCGACGAAUUGACUGCUCACAGAUGGAAAGGUGUUGGUUCAUUUAGACAGUAGGACGGUGGCCAUGGAAGUCGGAACCCGCUAAGGAGUGUGUAACAACUCACCUACCGAAUGGACUAGCCCUGAAAAUGGAUGUCGCUAAGCAGUCAGCCGAUACCUCGCCGUCUGACCUAAUGUCGUCAGACGAGUAGGAGGGCGUGAGGGCCGCGCUGAAGCAUUAGUGUGAACUGGUGUGGAGCGACUCUUAGUGCAGAUCUUGGUGGUAGUAGCGGCUAUUCAAGUGAGAGCCUUGAAGACUGAAGUGGAGAAGGGUUUCAUGAGAACAGCAUUUGGUCAUGAGUGACUCGGUCCUAAGGCCAGGGGUAAUCCCGUGACGACACUGUCCAGGCCGAAAGGGAACGCGGUUAAAAUUCCGCGAGCUGGUGAUGGGUCUUACGUGGUAACACAACUGAGCCCAGAGACGUCAAGGCGAGGUCCUAGGGAGAGUUCUCUUUUCUUCUUAACAAAUCGCUGCCCUGGAGGUCUUCGCGACGAGAGAGGGCUACCGAUUUGGCAGAGCAGUGCACCCUUUGCGCUGUCUAGUGCACCUCCUUUGGCCCUGGAAAAUCUGGGGGAACUUUGAUCUCACACCAGGCCGUACCCACAACCGC